rnacentral:rRNA from 1 species
UACGGAGGGGGCUAGCGUUGUUCGGAAUUACUGGGCAUAAAGCGCACGUAGGCGGCUUUGUAAGUUAGAGGUGAAAGCCCGGGGCUCAACUCCGGAAUCGCCUUUAAGACUGCAUCGCUAGAAUUGUGGAGAGGUGAGUGGAAUUCCGAGUGUAGAGGUGAAAUUCGUAGAUAUUCGGAAGAACACCAGUGGCGAAGGCGACUCACUGGACACAUAUUGACGCUGAGGUGCGAAAGCGUGGGGAGCAAACAGG